rnacentral:sRNA from 1 species
UGAUGAGGUGACGCACUUCGCUGGGUGU